rnacentral:rRNA from 1 species
AGAGUUUGAUCCUGGCUCAGGAUGAACGCUAGCUACAGGCUUAACACAUGCAAGUCGAGGGGCAUCAGUUUGGUUUGCUUGCAAACCAAAGCUGGCGACCGGCGCACGGGUGAGUAACACGUAUCCAACCUGCCUCAUACUCGGGGAUAGCCUUUCGAAGAAAGAUUAAUAUCCGAUAGCAUAUAUUUCCCGCAUGGGUUUUAUAUUAAAGAAAUUCGGUAUGAGAUGGGGAUGCGUUCCAUUAGUUUGUUGGCGGGGUAACGGCCACCAAGACUACGAUGGAUAGGGGUUCUGAGAGGAAGGUCCCCCANAUUGGAACUGAGACACGGUCAAACUCCUACGGGAGCA